rnacentral:rRNA from 1 species
AGAUUGAACGCUGGCGGAAUGCUUUACACAUGCAAGUCGAGCGGCAGCGCGGGGGCAACCCUGGCGGCGAGCGGCGAACGGGUGAGUAAUACAUCGGAACAUGUCCAGUUGUGGGGGAUAGCCCGGCGAAAGCCGGAUUAAUACCGCAUGAGCUCGAGAGGAGGAAAGCGGGGGACCUAAGGCCUCGCGCGACUGGGUUCGGCCGAUGUCCGAUUAGCUAGGUUGGUAGGGGUAAAGCCUACCAAGGCGAUGGAUCGGUAGCUGGUCUGAGAGGAUGAUCAGCCACACUGGGACUGAGACGACGGCCCAGACCUCCGUACGGGAGCAGCAGGUGGGAUUUUGGACAAGUGGGGGACAACCGUGACUCCAGCCA